rnacentral:rRNA from 1 species
AACGUAGGACGCAAGCGUUUAUCCGGAAUUAUUGGGCGUAAAGAGCUCGUAGGCGGUUUGUCGCGUCUGCUGUGAAAACUGGAGGCUCAACCUCCAGCCUGCAGUGGGUACGGGCAGACUAGAGUGCGGUAGGGGAGAUUGGAAUUCCUGGUGUAGCGGUGGAAUGCGCAGAUAUCAGGAGGAACACCGAUGGCGAAGGCAGAUCUCUGGGCCGUAACUGACGCUGAGGAGCGAAAGCAUGGGGAGCGAACAGG